UCCUAGCCUUAUUAUCAAUUAUUUCUUAAAUUACACAUGCAAGUCUCAGCACCCCCGUGAGGACACCCUUAUACCCUUAAAGGCUAAGGAGCUGGUAUCAGGCACAGCCCACAACACCUAGUUUUACCACACCCCCAAGGGCAUUCAGCAGUGAUAAAUAUUGUUUAUAAGCGACAGCUUGACUCAGUUAAAGAAAAUAGAGCCGGCUAACUCGGUGCCAGCCGCCGCGGCUGGGCUCAAAUUGAUAACAACCGGUAAGCGUGAUUAAAGUUCUUCAACAAUUAGAAUAAAAUCCACUCUUAGCUGUGAAAAGACGAAAGUUGUUCUAAUUUUGACUACACGACAGUUAGGAAACAAACUGGGAUCAGAUACCCCACUAUG
rnacentral:rRNA from 1 species